rnacentral:lncRNA from 1 species
GCUCUGACCUUUGGUUUCCUCCUUUGCAAAAGGAAGCAUCAGCAGAAUUGAUUUCACAGGGAGGGCUGCUUUAAGGACUCGAUGAAAUAAACCAUAUAAGGCACUCAGCAGCAGCCUGGCUCAAAGGCAAUGCCCUGUAGGUGACGGUGACAGCUAUUAAUGCUGUCAGUCCUUGGACACGGCAGGUGAAAGGGGUGGCGAAAGAAGCAGUUUAAAGAUUAGUCUGAAACCUCCUGUACAGCAGAAUCCCAGAUGAUGCAUGUAGGGAUAAUCAACACCUCACCCGAGUGUGGGCUGCACCAGCAACUUCCUUCCAAAGAGAACAGCAUGGGAGCAGGUGUGUGGGACUUUACAGUGAGGAGCCCAGGUCAACCUCAUCCAUGAUGUCAUGUUGACGGCAUGUGCCCUUCACAGGCUGCGCUGAGAAGGGCAUUCACCUUUGAGGUCUUCCUCCCCACAACCUAUAACCUCCAUCCAGCCACGAGAAGAACAUCAGACAAUCCCCAACUGAGGGACAUUCUACAAAAUGCCUGACCAAUACUCCUCAAAACUGUCAAGGUCAUCAAAAAUAGAGAUCAAAAAGUCUAAGAAAAUGUCACAGCCCAAAGGAUCCUAAGAAGGCAGAAUGGGCUGGAUGUGUUGGUUCACGCCUGUAAUCCUAGCACUUUGGGAGGCAAGGUAGGAGGAUCGAUAACUGAGGUCAGUUCAAGACCCUAUCUCUACCAAAAAAAACGAAAGAAAACAAAACAAAACAAAGAGCCAGGUGUAAUGACACAUGCCUGUAGUCCCAGAUACCCAGAAGGCUGAGGUAGGAGAAUGGCUUGAGCCCAGGAGUUCCAGGCUGCAGUGAACUAGGUUGGCACCACUGCACUCCAGCCUGGGCAACAGAGCAAGACCUGGUCUCUAAAAUCAACAACAAAAAAGAAGACAGAAUGACCAAACGUAGUGUGGCAUUCUGGGUGGGAGUCUGAAAUGGAGAAAGGACAUUAGGGAAAAACUAAGGACAUGCAUAAAAUAGGGACAUUUAUUUAUUUAUUUGAGAAAGAGUCUCACUCUGUCGCCCAGGUUGGAGUGCAGUGGUGCAAUCUUGGCUCACUGCAACCUACGCCUCCCGGGUUCAAGCGAUUUUCUUGCCUCAGCCUCCCGAGUAGCUGCGAUUACAGGUGCCCACCACGCCUGGCUAAUUUUUGUAUUUUUAGUAGAGAUGGGGUUUCACCACAUUGGCUAGGCUGGUCUUGAACUCCUGACCUCAGAUGAUCCACCUGCUUCAGCCUCCCCAAGUGCUGUGAUUAUGGGAGUGAACCACCGUGCCCGGCCAAAAUAGGGACUUUAGUUAAUAAUCGUGCAUCACGAUUGACUCACUAGUUAUGACAAAUGCACAUGAAUGUAACAUGUUAACAGUAAGGGAAACUGGCAGGGCGGUAUAUAGCCACUCUUUCUACUAUUUUUGCAACUUUUCCAUAAAUCUAAAGGUAUUCUAAAAUAGUUUACUUAAAAAUAAAACCAGUCUGGAGUUGGCGUGCAGGUUAGAUAGAGGCUCUUCCACUUUCUGCAUCAAAAAGCCUUUAGUCUCUGGCGGACCUUGGGCAGCUCUGCUCUGGUCCAGCCUUAACUCCUGGUGACUGGGCACAGCUGCUUCAGGGUCUGAGUCAGCACCUUCCACCUGAGUUGCCUUGUGCUCCAAACUGUCCCUACACAGCUGAUUUCCUCUUCUUUGCCCGGGGUAGGAGUCUAUCUUCUUACUUCUGAGCCUAUGAGAAAACCCAGGUGUCUUUUGGGCUAAGGCAUCAGUUAAAAUGUCUUGAGUAGCACAUCUGGAUUUGGAACCCAAUUCCAGCAGCAAGAGGGAACUUCAUUCUGCAAACGAGUAUUUAUUGUGCACCUGUGAUGGGCCAAGCAGUAUUUUGGGUGCCAAGGAUACAACAGGGAAAAACAUUUCCUCUUUUCUUGGAGCUUGCAUUCUUGUGGGAGAGACAAAUGAAUAAUUAAUGCCAAGGAGUGGGAAAUAUGAGUAAGAAAAAAAAAAAAGAGGGGUUGGAGAAGGGAAGGCCUCCUGAGGUGACAUUUCAGCCAAGACCUGAAUGAUGGAGCAAGCCACACGGGCCUGAGGGCAGCAGCAGGAUGGACAGGACCAAAGGUCCGUGCAAAGGCCCUGAGGCUGAGUGGUGUUUGAGGAAUGUUGAGAGGCCAGUGAGGAGGGGAAGCGUAAGAGGAAUUAAGAUCCAGCAGCUCCUGGGAGAUCAGACCAUGUGGGCCCCUCACAGGUAAGGCUUCAGCUUACACACCUAGGUAGGUGGGACACUCUGCACAGUUUGGAUCAGCAAUCCAACACGAUCUGCUCAGCUCUGAAAAAUCUCUGGCUAUUGAGUGGAGAACAGGCUACAGGGAGAAGAGGGUGGGAGCAGGGAUAAUUAGGAGCCUAUUGCAAUAUCCAGACAAGAGAUAAUCGCAGUAGAGGAAGGGGCAAGGCACUGUCAGGAUAAGCCUGGAGGAUUUGCUCAUGGAUUAGAUGGUGGGUACAAGAGAAACAGGAAUCGAGGAGGAUUCCCCAGUUUUCGGCCUCGGAACUGAAGAACCGAGUUUGCAUUUACUAGGAGGGAAGUCUCCCCAGGGGAGCACAUUUCACACCAUGGGGCCGAGUGAGCUCCCUUUAGGGCUGAGUGUGGGGAGAGAGGAGGCUAUAUUAGAGGCUGGAGCCCCGAGUCCUCCAGGGUUUUGAGGCUGGGAAGCUGAGGACACCAUAGCAAGGGAGGCCAAAAAGGAGAGGCCAGGGAGGUGAGAGGAGAGCACAGAGCUGUCCACAGGCCAGGUGGAAAGACUCAAGCGGGUGAUUAUUUGCAUCCAAUGCUACUGAUAGGACUGGGCAACCCAGGUCACUGGCAACUGUGGAAAGGAAACUUUUGGUGGGAUUGUGAGGAAAAAACUGGAAGGGAGUGGGCAGAAGUGGAGACGGGGAACACACACAGCUCUUUGGAAGAGUUUUGCUCUAAGGGGAGCAGAGACAAGGCAUGGCAGCUGAAGAGAAUCUGGAAGUCUCUGGUCUUUGAUAUUGAGCUAUACCCACUUGGGAUGCAUGUAAGUGGGUGGAAAGUCCUGGCAGAGGGGAGAACCCGCAGUGCAGGAGAGAGGGCGACUGUAGGAGAAAAGCCCUCAAGGAGUGAAGAGGGAUGGGCCCCGAGGAUGGGAGCAGGGUGGGGCAUUUAUUGCCACAGAAGGGGAGGCUGAGGAUAUGGUGUCAGAUGCAGACGGGCUGAGAGUUCACCCUUCACCCUCUCUCCUAGCUCUAAGCCAGAACCUAAGGGGGCCAGAAGCUGGGAUCCAAGUCUACUUGUCCCACCCCCUCCACUGGAACUCCCUGGCCCCCAGCUCUGCACAGCUCCUGCCCUGCAGCCCUCGCCUGGCUGUGCUCCGGGAAGUCCUCGUGGGCACUUCACCCUGCUCUGCAGCCACACUCACACCCUAGAUCCAGGUCACACUAGAGGCAAAGACCCCACUGGCUCGGACUUCACCAACCUGGAGCAGGGGAGAGAAGCUAAGUUCUGACCUUUGAUCAGAAGAUGGGGAAGCCACACUCAACACGUCACUGCCUUGGGAGGUGGAUUUGGGGAUGGUGGGUCCUGGGGAAAAACGGGCUUUUGGUGUGGAAAUGACAUCUUUCCUGUUUCCGACCUCUGCCUGCCUCAUGCCAGGUGAGACACCUUCAUGCCUGUUUCCAUGAUUGAGAACAUGGGAGUACGCUUCUUUCCACCUACGUUCCUGGUGGAUUUUCACUGGAGUUGGGCUGCACUGUGGAAAAGGGGUUGGGCAGCUCCUGUGGCACAGUGAGGGGGCAUAGAAGCCCAAGGCAGUCGGUAAGAAAUCACCAAUUUAUUGAAUGAAAAACCCAACAUCAACUCAGUCCCUCCCACCCCCAUCUCCUCUCUCUGGCCCAGGAGA